rnacentral:rRNA from 1 species
GUUGAACGCUGGCGGCAGGCCUAACACAUGCAAGUCGAACGAGUAGCGGACGGGUGAGCAGUGUAUGGGCACCUGCCUGAUCGAGGGGGCUAACUACUGGAAACGGUGGCUAAUACCGCAUAAGAUCGGAUGGGCCCAGAUGGGAUUAGCUAGUAGGUGGGGUAAAGGCUAACCAAGGCGACGAUGCCUAGCUGGUCUGAGAGGAUGACCAGCCAAACUGGAACGGAGACACGGCCCAGACUCCUACGGGAGGCAGCAGUGGGGAAUAUUGGGCAAUGGGCGAAAGCCUGAUGGAGCCAUGCCGCGUGUAUGAAGAAGGCUUUCGGGUUGUAAAGUACUGUCAGUGGGGAGGCGUUACCUGACGAGGAAGCACCGGCUAACUCCGUGCCAGCAGCCGCGGUAAUUC